rnacentral:rRNA from 1 species
UACAGGGGUCCCAAGCGUUGUUCGGAUUCACUGGGCGUAAAGGGUGCGUAGGUGGUGAGGUAAGUCGGAUGUGAAAUCUCCGAGCUCAACUCGGAAACUGCAUUGGAAACUACCUUGCUAGAGGGUUGGAGGGGGGACUGGAAUGCUUGGUGUAGCAGUGAAAUGCGUAGAUAUCAAGCGGAACACCAGUGGCGAAGGCGAGUCCCUGGACAACUCCUGACACUGAGGCACGAAAGCUAGGGGAGCAAACAGG